rnacentral:lncRNA from 13 species
AGAUAAUACACUAUAAUUUAGCAUGAUUUAUCUCAGGGUUGUACAGAUGGUUCAACACACACAAAUCAAGGAAUGUGAUAUACUACAUCAGCAGAAUUAAGAAAAAAAUAUGUAUCUCAAUGAAUGUAGAAAGAGCGGUUUAUAAAAUUCAGCAUUUCUUCAUGAUUAAAACACUCAUCAGGUUAGGUAGAGAAGGAACACGCCUUAAAACAAUAAAGGCGUUGCGGGGGGAGGCGGAUUUCCAAGAUGGCGGAAUAGGAAUAGCUCUGAAGUGCAGUUCCCAGGGAGAGCAACACAAAGGACACGGAGCAUAUUCACACAUUCUCCAGGGGCAACAAAUCCAGUUCUCAUCCAGCUACUUAAAACAGCUGAAGGUUGUGGUGAUCUUCUGCCUUCUCCUUCAGAUAAAAGAUGACAAGCAUGGAAUUAGUGGAUUUUCAUUUCAAAAUAUCACGAAUUUGGAUGGAUAUUUCACCUCUGGGUACAAUAUGUGGCUGAGUCUGCUGGGUGAUAGCUGGUCCAGAAAGAAGAUGGAGGUCUGCAAUCUGCUUGCUUUGGAUAAUAGUAAUUUUUCCAGAAAAUACACUCCCCUGUGCUGUUUAGUUUCUACAUAAUUAUGUUUACAUAUACAUCUCUCUAUAUGCCUAAUUUAUAUUGAUGUUUAUCAUUACAAACACAGGGUAUAUAAAAUGAGGAUAAAAUGGACUUAUUUUUGUUUUGGUUUCAGUCAAGGGCCUGGGGCCAAGAAAAAUAAAAUAUUGUGAUAAAGAACCA